GCUCGUGGGGGUCUCACAGAUGAUCAGUGAACCCAAGAGGAGGAUAACCGCGGGGAUUGCGGCUCCACCGAGAGCAAACCGCCAUCCGUUAGGGUGAACGGUGGCAGUGAAGUAGUUGACAAGGUUGGCUAUUAAGAUUCCUAUUGUGACCAUGAGUUGGAAUACAAUGUUGAGACCUCCCCUUAGCUGUGCAGGAGCAAUCUCUGAUAAGAAAAGCGGCACUGCCUACAAAUUUAAGGUACACAUAACAAUGUUAGGUCAUUUCUAGAUUAUAAGAAUGGUCGAAUGAAGUCCAAAUGUUUUAAGGAUCCAUUAGAUUUAAAAUCAUGAACUUAUAACAAAAGAUUCAGGAUAAAUAUAAAUAUAUAUAUAUAUAUAUAUAUUUAAUCUCAUAUAAUCUCAUAUUUAUUAACCAAUAAGUGUCAACAUAAUUUACAAAUACCGUUUGAUUUUGUUUACAAAACCAAAAUAAAAAUGAAAUAAAUAAAAUUAAGAAAUUACUUAAUAUUCAACAUUAGUUUUUUUAAAAUAAUAUUCUAAUUUUAAUAUGUUUAGGAAACUGUUAUUAAUUAGUCUUGUAAAAAUAUUGAGAGAAACACACAUUUUCACUAAUUCUCAAAAAAAAAUUAACAAAAAAAAUUCUCAAAAAACAUCAUUACACAAUUUUUUUUCACAAAUCAAAGAAAAAACUAUAUCAAUUUGUGUUUUAUCGAUUACAAAGUUGAAGCAAAAUCUGAAGAUUAUAUUUUUUUUUGGAGCAAUUUCAAGAUUAUUUAUAUAUAUAUAUAUGGUGAAUUGUUUUUCAAUAUAGUGAAUCUCAAAGCAAAGAAAAAAUGCAUUAUAUAUCUACCUGAUUGCCAAAGCCUACACCGAAGCCAAGUAAGAUUCUUCCAAUGAUCAACAUGACGAUGUUAUCAGCUCCUGCGGCUAGCCCGACACCGAUCAAGAAAAAGACAGAAGCAAACUGCAUAGUGGGCUUCCUUCCAAGUUUGGAACAGACGGCCGAAGCCAAGAAGCUGGCCACGAGUGCGGCUAGGUAAAGAGACGAUGUGAAUAGCUGCAAGUGCUGGUUAUCAUACUUGCAGUAAUUGUUCUCAUGAGCGUGCUGCUUCCUCUCCCACACCGUAGGGAAAAACUUCUUUAAGAAAUCAUCCAUUGCCGUCACUCCACCUUUUUUUUUAAAUCACAGGUUAGUAACAUGAAACACAAGUUAGGGUUUUUGGAGUUCUGUUUCCUUGAGAUACAAGUAAGGUGAAAAUGAGUACAGAGAAAGAGAGUAUACCGGAUAUCCCGAUGUCGUAACCGAAGAUCAAACCGCCGACAGCGGCAAUCAGAACGCAGACAAAGACAUAGACAGUCAUCUUGGCCUCAAAAGCCGGACCAUUCCCGUUAGCAGAUACAACAACAGCCAUGUUUAAUGAAUCUUAGUCAGACAAAACCACUCUAACUCACUAUAUAUAUACAAAAGUGUUUGUAUCUGUGUCUAUGUAAGCUGAAGAAGGAUACAGAGAGACAGAGACUCUGCUUGAGAUUUCAGACUUUGUUGGAUAGAGAAUGAGCUCACAUAUUUAUAAGACAUGACAUGACACAGAGUCACAGACCAGAUCCCGAGGUGUCUAAGAAUGGGAUUGCGUUUGAAAAAUAGCUGAGGCGAGAGAUCCAGGGUUAUUGUAUGGCCUGUAAGUCUCUUUCUUAUUUUGGACCAUAACCUUGCUUUUUUCUUUCCCCACUUGUUAGUGGAUUACACAGUCAAAUCUUUAUCUACCAAUACAUUAGCUGUGUGAAGCCCGGUUAAGCAAACUAGAUUCGGUUUUAUUCUCUUACACACGAAAACCGGGACCGUUUAUUGCGUGUAUAUCGGGUUUAAUCUCCAAAUGACAAUCUAUUUGGAUGUGAUGUUUGCGGCUUAAAAUAAAAAUGAGAAAGAAAAGUAGAAAACAAACCAAUCAGAUGUAGAUGGAGAGGUUACCAUCUAGGCUGGAUGUCUUUUUUGUCUAUACGACUUUUAAACGGCGUGUUAGGUUUUUUCCAAAAUCGUAGUCAUUGUUUUGUAAGUUUUUAAAAAUAUAAUAUUGUAUUAAUAAAUCAUUUAAAAUUAUAUAAAAUAUAGUAAUUAAUAGAUUACAAAAUUUUCUAAAACUAAAAUAAUAUAAAUUAUUAUAAUUUGUAACCGGUUAGGUCAACUUAAAUACUAAAUAAUCCUUUUGUUUCACUUUAUUUGUCGUUUUAGGUUGAUGCACACAUAUUAAAAAAAUAUUUAAUUUUAUACAUUUUUAAAAUAAAAACAUCAUUAUCCGUACACCUAACCAUAUUUCCAUCAAUAGAAAAAUAAAGAAAAUAAUCUUGUUAAUAAAUUUUACAUUGAAAUCAUAAAAUGACACUUAUUUUAAAACUAAAAUUUUCGCUUAAACUGGGGGUAACAAUUAAGACUUCCUGCUAAACUGACCCCUCGCUUAGCGUUACAUUUCUUUUUAAUUUGGUCAACAAGCGUUACAUCUUAAAGAUAAGUAAAUGCUUUACGUUCCUCUGACCAGUAUAACGUUGAAUAAAGAUCUAUACGGUAGUUUGUAGUAUCUAUUCUGUAGCCAAAAAGAUAAGUCAAUGUUUUACGUUUCUCUGACCGCUCGCUAUACGUUUCUCUGUCGUUUAGUAUGGAGAAUCUGAAACAAAAUCAAAGCGAAUUGAGAAUGUUUUUGACUUUCUUAUCACACAAGGCAAACUUUUUAGUAUCUAUACUGUAGCACCUUUAUUACCUUAACGAACAUUCAAUGAAACAUGAAGCAAAAAUAAAAAUAAAAAAGAAUUACAAUUUUAGGACUUUUUUAUUAAUCACUCGAAUUACACACGAAUCACAAAGCUUUAUUAGCCGUGGGAUCAGAAGCAGCAAGCUCCUUGUACAUGUUUGUUAUUGCUUCUGCGAAGUAUUCCUUUGCUUGUGGUCUCUUAAUCUGCAGCAAACAUUCAAUCAAAAUCCUUCAGCUUAAAUUCAUUUUCACAAUCGGUUUACUAAUCAUUCUACGUCCUUUACUAACACACCGGUCCUGAGAUUUUGGAAACUAUAGAUAAUUUAGAAAGGAUUUAUAUAUUUUUUUAACAACUUUAGAAGCUUAUAUCUAUAUAACCUUUUUAAAAAAAAAUUUGGAGACCAUAUGUCAAUGUUUCACUAGCCUAUACGCCAAUGUUUCACUAGCCUAUGUUGAGAACCAGUGAUCGACUAUAGGAGUAGAACUAGUGGUUCUAAUUCAUCUAAGUUGCUCAAAUGGGUCCUGCAGAUUUUACCUUGAAUGUUGGUGUCAACAAGCCAUUUUCUAGCGUGAAUGGCUCCAGCACCAAUGUUACAGCUUUUGCAAACUCAAAGCCUCUCAACUGCAUCAAAGGUUUUUAAGAACUUUAGUCUAUGAUAUUACCUGAGCUUCUCUCCCAACAGCGUAAAGAUGCAUUACCUGAGAUUCUCUCCCAACAGCGUCCAUGUCUGAUAAUACUGCUGCUUUCACUCUCGGGUUAUUGCACAACUCUCUCAGAUCUCCCUGCAGCAUUUUUAGCAUAGUGGUAUAAAUUUACUUUCCAAGUGUUACGUUUGAAGGAACUUUGGUGAAGGAAGUUGUAUCACCUUUAUGCCUUCUGAAGCAGCCCAGCUUUUAAGCACAUCUGGAUCAACCGAUACAACAGCCACCAAUGAUGAAUUAAAGCUAUCACCUGAGUAAAACAAAAACCGGUUAGAUGGGUAAAAAAAUAAAGCAAAAGACUUAAAUAAAAAAUUUCUCUACCAUAUAUGAAGCAUUGGCCCACAAAUCUGCAUUUGGCAUAGACGUUUUCAAUUUUCUCUGGAGCUAUAUACUCCCCUUGAGCCAAUUUGAAGAUGUUCUUCUUCCUAUUUAAAGAACAAGAAAAAUUUAGAAAGAUGAUUCUCGGUACAAAACAUACCAACAACAAGUUCCCAAAAAAUUUAAACCAUCUUCAAGUAGUGGAUACUAAUCAAGUGAUGUGGGAAAAACCUGUCGAUAAUUUUUAGACGUCCUCCCGGCAACCAAAGACCUAUAUCUCCAGUGUGAAGCCAUCCAUCUUCAUCAAUCACCUCUCUCCUGAAAUUUAAAUACAUUUAACUGAACCGAUUAUACUUUUAAAAUAAUUUGGAUAGUGGAGUGCAAUGUAGGUUUUCAUACGUUUGAACUUCAUCCUUGUAAUAGCCUCUAAAGAUGAUGGGACCUCUAACACAUAUCUCACCACGAGGAUGUGGUUCAUCCGCUGAUGUAUAGUUCAUUUCCGGGACAUCCACAAGCUUUACUUCUGAAAAAAGCAAUGCGUAUUAAAUCAUAUAGAGACAUAACUUGUAAUAUUAAUCUUAUCGCAGAGUCAGUAAGAAGCUUACCACAAGCUGGAUUAGGAGAGCCAACAUGUCCAGUGAGGUUAUCACCCUCGUCCAUUCCACUUAUAACACAAGAUGUUUCAGUCAUUCCAUAUCCUUCUGAUACCCUUCCUCCAAAGCAUCUGGAGUAGUCAUAUACACAAGUUAAAGGAAACCAGAGCCUGAAUAACUAUGCAUGCGCUAAGGACUAUAUGUGUGCAUCUUGAGGAUGAACUCUAUUGUAUAAAAUGAAAGAACACAAAUCUCUUCAAAGCGAUGAACUUACAUCUUCAAAAACUCCAACACUUCAGGAGACAAAGGUGAAGCCCCAGACGUCAUAAAACGAACUCGUCCUCCAAGUCUGUCUUUUAUCUUAUUAAAUACCAACCUGUCCCAUAUGGGAGACGCACUUUUUCCUGAACCAACAGAACCCAUACAAAGUAAAUCAAGCCCCAAACUGAAUUUAAAAAAAAAUCUAAUUAGAGUUAACCUGAAUCAACAAGUUGGUCUUAUUAUACUAUCUGUUCCCGCAAAACAAAAGAAGUAACCAACAUCAACAAGAAAAAGGAAAAGCAAACACACUGAUCAACAAAGACUUAUGAUAUCAUUCAGUUCUCUUCUCCACAUCUUGAUGAUCAUCCUCAGCAAGCAUAUACCUUUUCCAGAACCAGUGUGGCUUCCACACUCUCUCCCUCACAUCAUCAAUGGCCACACCUUUAGUCUCCGGUAUAAAGAACAAAGCAAACAGUCCCAUCACAAUGAUCCAAGCGCUGAAGAAGAAGAAUAUUCCUGAUCUCAUCCCACAAAGCAUCGACAAGAAAGCCUGCGCGAUCACGAAGGUGAAUAACAUGUUGCACGAGACUGCAACAGCGAACCCUGCACUUCGAGUUUCUAGAGGAAACGUCUCGCUAGGAAUUAGCCAUCCUAAUGGUCCCCAUGACCACGCGAAUCCCAUCACGUAAGCGCACACAAAGACCACAACCACCAUGGCUUGUGCCUUCCCGAGUGUUCCUGUGAUACCCAAGUCUUUCGCUAGGAUGAUUCCAAUGAUCAACUGUUAGAAGAGUUUGUUAGUUUAAGAGGAUUACUUGUGGUGCAAGAUACCUACUUCAAGAUGCUUAGAGCAUGUCUAUCAAUUAAAUGUUAAAUCAUAAAAACAAAUUAAACCAAUCAUGAGUUAACACAUUUGUAAAAGAAAAAAGAUUUUUCAAAUGAGAACUCUUUCAGUUCCUUUUUAUUCCUUCUUUCUCCAUUUUUUUCUCCUUUUUGGUUAUUUUUUAAUGUCUAGAAUCCUGCUAGACACUAGCAUUAGGUUUCUCUUAGAUACAAUAAACAAAGAAGAUUACUUGUGGAGCAAGAUACCUUCUUCAAGAUAGAACUAGAGACAAUAAACAAAGAAGUAGAGAGAUAUAUGUACUGGUAGUUCAAAAAAAGAGAGAGACAUCUAUGUACCUGGGAAAUGAGCAUGUGAACGGAAGAUUGUAAAAGAAGGAACCUCCGGCCAGUUCUAUCGACAAGGUAGAUCCCUACAAACGUACUAAGAACGUUGAUACUUCCCGUGAUAACCGCAGAGAGAAGAGCUGCGUUACUUCCAAAACCAACGGUCUGGAACAAAACCGGUGCGUAGAACAUAAUAGCAUUGAUUCCACUAAACUGCUGGAAAAGCUGUAGAAGCAUUCCAAUGAUUAACGGUGGACGACUCGCUGGUUUCAACAGUUUCCUGUAAGGGUCUUUGACUUGACUCGCGAUCUCGCAUGCAUGGACGAUAGAUUCAUACUCAUCAUUUAUAUCUUCAACUCCUCUGAUCUUCCUUAGGGUUUCUCUGCCUUCUUCGUUUUUGUUGCGCUCUAUGAGGCUCGUGGGGGUCUCACAGAUGAUCAGUGAACCCAAGAGGAGGAUAACCGCAGGGAUUGCGGCUCCACCGAGAGCAAACCGCCAUCCGUUAGGGUGAACGGUGGCAGUGAAGUAGUUGACAAGGUUGGCUAUUAAGAUUCCUAUUGUGACCAUGAGUUGGAAUACAAUGUUGAGACCUCCCCUUAGCUGUGCAGGAGCAAUCUCUGAUAAGAAAAGCGGCACUGCCUACAAAUUU
rnacentral:lncRNA from 1 species